UACGUAGGGUGCGAGCGUUGUCCGGAAUUAUUGGGCGUACAGGGCUCGUAGGCGGUUUGUCGCGUCGGGAGUGAAAACCAGGUGCUUAACACCUGGCUUGCUUUCGAUACGGGCAGACUAGAGGUAUUCAGGGGAGAACGGAAUUCCUGGUGUAGCGGUGAAAUGCGCAGAUAUCAGGAGGAACACCGGUGGCGAAGGCGGUUCUCUGGGAAUGACCUGACGCUGAGGAGCGAAAGUGUGGGGAGCGAACAGG
rnacentral:rRNA from 1 species